GGGACUAGAAGGGUGAGGAAGGGCUAGAAGUCAGAGAAACUCUCCAGGCAAGGAAGCCUGGGGAAGAGCCUACUCAAACAGGGAUCAAGCAGAGAGAAUCCAAGGAGUGUAACCCUAAGGAGACUGAAGUUACGGAGUGACCUGGCUGGAGCGCUGGGAAACCAGAGCACGGUUGAGGACAAAAUCUUCAGAGAGAAAGCCCAGGGGGCAUUGCUGUAUGCCAGGGCAGGGACAGACUUAAAGCUAACCCAGAAGGGGCUGAGAACUGAACCCAGAGAAAGGGCUGAAGACACCAACAAGGGGACAGCAAUUGGACCUGUAUUACCCUGGAAGGAGUUCCUCCAUCUGCCUGGUAACUGUGUGCCUUAGCUGGAAGGCUGAGCCACUGGAGAUGUGCCUGACAAGGGCAACAGCCGACAUGGGGCACAGAGAGCAGAGAAAGAAUGAAGGAUCGCACCCAGGUGACAGGAGGUGUUCAUGAGAGUCCAUCUCAUGUUGUUCAUGAUGCUCACUCAGAAAUUUGUGCUGACAUCUUCCAUAACCUGCAAGCAUGUUCCCCAGAUAAGUCACUUUUCCAUGAACACAGAGCACCAUUAAGACCAUUCUACAAUCUAGAUUUCUACAAUCCUGAACAGUUUGGGAACUCUUACAGAACAGUUUAUAAUCCUUUUAGAAACACUGCUUAGUUCAAAAAUCAACUGUGGCCAGAUCCUAAAUUGGUGUAAAUUGACCUAUUGUAAUCAAUAGGGCUAUGCCAUUUAAUACCAGCUGAGGACCUGGCCCCAAAUGUGAAAGAAUGUAUACUCUGUUCGAUACAAGACUACUUUUGCAUGUUGGGAGCAGUGUUGAGAAUCUCAUUUUGAUUAUGUUGUGAAUAGUGAAGACGAAACUUGCAUUGUAAGAAUUAUUGCUAGUAGAAAAUAGAGCUGUUUGAACUGUUUUAUGGAUAUUAAUUAGAAAUUAAGUCUUUUUGGUUAGCAUGUCAUUUGCAAACCAGUCCUGAGUUCUGUAAAUGCCUUUGUUCCUUACAAAUCACAGCUGAAUAAUUUCAAACAAUUGAAAUCUUGCUGGUUGUUCAUGAACUGUUCAGUUUGAAUAUUCUCAACUUUUAUGAGAUUGGGUCAGCUGAGAAAUAUAGGCUUAAGUUUUCAAACAUGAUUACUAAUUUUAGUUGCUCAGCUCAAGAUACCUUAGAGGGGGGCCUGAUUUUCAGAGCACAAAUGCUCAGGUCUUUAAGGUAUGAAAAGUUGAUUACUCAAAAGCUGGGUAUAUACUGAACUGGAUUAAAUAUUAAACUUUGAGAUUUAUGAAUAUUU